ACUGACGCUAAAGCUCGAAGGUGCGGGUAUCGAACAGGAUUAGAUACCCUGGUAGUCCGCACGGUAAACGAUGGAUGCCCGCUGUUUGCGAUAUACUGUGAGCGGCCAAGAGAAAUCGUUAAGCAUCCCACCUGGGGAGUACGCCGGCAACGGUGAAACUCAAAGGAAUUGACGGGGGCCCGCACAAGCGGAGGAACAUGUGGUUUAAUUCGAUGAUACGCGAGGAACCUUACCCGGGCUUGAACUGCAGGAGAACGAUUCAGAGAUGAUGAGGUCCUUCGGGACUCCUGUGGAGGUGCUGCAUGGUUGUCGUCAGCUCGUGCCGUGAGGUGUCGGCUUAAGUGCCAUAACGAGCGCAACCCUUCUCCGUAGUUGCCAUCAGGUCGAGCUGGGCACUCUGCGGAUACUGCCACCGUAAGGUGUGAGGAAGGUGGGGAUGACGUCAAAUCAGCACGGCCCUUACGUCCGGGGCUACACACGUGUUACAAUGGGAGGUACAGAAGGCCGCGACCCGGCGACGGGAAGCCAAUCCCCAAAUCCUCUCUCAGUUCGGACUGGAGUCUGCAACCCGACUCCACGAAGCUGGAUUCGCUAGUAAUCG
rnacentral:rRNA from 1 species